rnacentral:rRNA from 1 species
UCAGAACGAACGCUGGCGGCAUGCCUAAUACAUGCAAGUCGAACGAACACUUCGGUGUUAGUGGCGCACGGGUGCGUAACGCGUGGGAAUCUGCCCUUGGGUUCGGAAUAACAGUUGGAAACGACUGCUAAUACCGGAUGAUAUCGAAAGAUCAAAGAUUUAUCGCCCAGGGAUGAGCCCGCGUAGGAUUAGCUAGUUGGUGAGGUAAAGGCUCACCAAGGCGACGAUCCUUAGCUGGUCUGAGAGGAUGAUCAGCCACACUGGGACUGAGACACGGCCCAGACCUCCGUACGGGAGGCAGCAGUAGGGAAUAUUGG